rnacentral:rRNA from 1 species
CGCACGGGUGAGUAACACGUAUCCAACCUGCCGUCUACUCUUGGACAGCCUUCUGAAAGGAAGAUUAAUACAAGAUGGCAUCAUGAGUCCGAAUGUUCACAUGAUUAAAGGUAUUCCGGUAGACGAUGGGGAUGCGUUCCAUUAGAUAGUAGGCGGGGUAACGGCCCACCUAGUCUCCGAUGGAUAGGGGUUCUGAGAGGAAGGUCCCCCACAUUGGAACUGAGACACGGUCCAA